rnacentral:rRNA from 1 species
GACGAACGCUGGCGGUAUGCUUAACACAUGCAAGUCGAACGAGAAGUCUUUUAUUGAACCUUCGGGGGAUAUAAGAGACAGACAGUGGCGAACGGGUGAGUAACGCGUGGGCAACCUACCUAUCGGAGCGGGAUAGCCUCGAGAAAUCGGGAGUAAAACCGCAUAGCACGGAUAUAUCGCAUGAUGAAUCCGUCAAAACUCCGGUGCCGAUAGAUGGGCCCGCGUCUGAUUAGCUAGUUGGUAAGGUAAGGGCUUACCAAGGCAACGAUCAGUAGCCGGUCUGAGAGGGCGAACGGCCACACUGGAACUGAGACACGGUCCAGACUCCUACGGGAGGCAGCAGUGGGGAAUAUUGCGCAAUGGGGGCAACCCCUGACGCAGCAAUACCGCGUGAGUGAAAGAAAGGUUUUUCGGAUUCGUAAAAGCUU